rnacentral:misc_RNA from 1 species
GCCCAUCCACGCUCGGCUGCCUUGCCAUCACGAGUGCUCGGCCCGAUGCGGACAUUGGCCCUCCGAACCGCGAGGCGCGGUGGGCCUAAGUGUGCGGCCGUCGUAUGUGGCCGGGAGCGGCGAGUGGUGGGCUACUGCGCACGCUGCCCCGAGCCCCAUGCCGACAGAGGGCUCUGUUUGACCCCCUAACGAGGAGCACGCCGCCGCGGCCUCACGCCGUGCGGCAUCUUCGGACC